UGACCUCGGAUCAGGUAGGAAUACCCGCUGAACUUAAGCAUAUCAAUAAGCCGGAGGAAA
rnacentral:rRNA from 1 species